CAAGCAGAGGGGGCUUAGUGGUGGGGUGACUGCGUACCUUUUGUAUAAUGGGUCAGCGACUUAUAUUCUGUAGCAAGGUUAACCGUAUAGGGGAGCCGGAGGGAAACCGAGUCUUAAUUGGGCGUUAAGUUGCAGGGUAUAGACCCGAAACCCGGUGAUCUAGCCAUGGGCAGGUUGAAGGUUGGGUAACACUAACUGGAGGACCGAACCGACUAAUGUUGAAAAAUUAGCGGAUGACCUGUGGCUGGGGGUGAAAGGCCAAUCAAACCGGGAGAUAGCUGGUUCUCCCCGAAAGCUAUUUAGGUAGCGCCUCGUGAAUUCAUCUCCGGGGGUAGAGCACUGUUUCGGCUAGGGGGCCAUCCCGGCUUACCAACCCGAUGCAAACUGCGAAUACCGGAGAAUGUUAUCACGGGAGACACACGGCGGGUGCUAACGUCCGUCGUGAAGAGGGAAACAACCCAGACCGCCAGCUAAGGUCCCAAAGUCAUGGUUAAGUGGGAAACGAUGUGGGAAGGCCCAGACAGCCAGGAUGUUGGCUUAGAAGCAGCCAUCAUUUAAAGAAAGCGUAAUAGCUCACUGGUCGAGUCGGCCUGCGCGGAAGAUGUAACGGGGCUAAACCAUGCACCGAAGCUGCGGCAGCGAACGUAUCACUUAAAGCGAUUCAGCGGGUUACGAUUGACGGAGCGAAGCGACGUCAAAGCGUAUACAAAGUCGAGUCGGUUUAAGGAUACGUUCGUUGGGUAGGGGAGCGUUCUGUAAGCCUGCGAAGGUGGCCUGUGAGGGUUGCUGGAGGUAUCAGAAGUGCGAAUGCUGACAUAAGUAACGAUAAAGCGGGUGAAAAGCCCGCUCGCCGGAAGACCAAGGGUUCCUGUCCAACGUUAAUCGGGGCAGGGUGAGUCGACCCCUAAGGCGAGGCCGAAAGGCGUAGUCGAUGGGAAACGGGUUAAUAUUCCCGUACUUGGUGUUACUGCGAAGGGGGGACGGAGAAGGCUAUGUUGGCCGGGCGACGGUUGUCCCGGUUUAAGCGUGUAGGCUGGUUUUCCAGGCAAAUCCGGAAAAUCAAGGCUGAGGCGUGACGACGAGGCACUACGGUGCUGAAGCAACAAAUGCCCUGCUUCCAGGAAAAGCCUCUAAGCAUCAGGUAACACGAAAUCGUACCCCAAACCGACACAGGUGGUCAGGUAGAGAAUACCAAGGCGCUUGAGAGAACUCGGGUGAAGGAACUAGGCAAAAUGGUGCCGUAACUUCGGGAGAAGGCACGCUGACACGUAGGUGAAGUGAUUUACUCAUGGAGCUGAAGUCAGUCGAAGAUACCAGCUGGCUGCAACUGUUUAUUAAAAACACAGCACUGUGCAAACACGAAAGUGGACGUAUACGGUGUGACGCCUGCCCGGUGCCGGAAGGUUAAUUGAUGGGGUCAGCGCAAGCGAAGCUCCUGAUCGAAGCCCCGGUAAACGGCGGCCGUAACUAUAACGGUCCUAAGGUAGCGAAAUUCCUUGUCGGGUAAGUUCCGACCUGCACGAAUGGCGUAAUGAUGGCCAGGCUGUCUCCACCCGAGACUCAGUGAAAUUGAACUCGCUGUGAAGAUGCAGUGUACCCGCGGCAAGACGGAAAGACCCCGUGAACCUUUACUAUAGCUUGACACUGAACAUUGAGCCUUGAUGUGUAGGAUAGGUGGGAGGCUUUGAAGCGUGGACGCCAGUCUGCGUGGAGCCGACCUUGAAAUACCACCCUUUAAUGUUUGAUGUUCUAACGUGGACCCGUUA
rnacentral:rRNA from 1 species